GACGAACGCUGGCGGCGUGCUUAACACAUGCAAGUCGAACGGUAAGGCCCUUCGGGGUACACGAGUGGCGAACGGGUGAGUAACGCGUGAGUAACCUGCCCUUCACUCUGGGAUAACAGUUGGAAACGGCUGCUAAUACCGGAUAUUCAGCUCCUGUCGCCUGGGGGGGGGUGGAAAGUUUUGGUGGUGGAGGAUGGGCUCGCGUCCUAUCAGCUUGUUGGUGGGGUGAUGGCCUACCAAGGCGUCGACGGGUAGCCGGCCUGAGAGGGCGACCGGCCACAUUGGGACUGAGAUACGGCCCAAACUCCUACGGGAGGCAGCAGUGGGGAAUAUUGCACAAUGGGCGGAAGCCUGAUGCAGCAACGCCGCGUGCGGGAUGACGGCCUUCGGGUUGUAAACCGCUUCCAGCAGGGACGAAGCGCAAGUGACGGUACCUGCAGAAGAAGCACCGGCUAACUACGUG
rnacentral:rRNA from 1 species